GGGGCGGGCGGCGGGCUGUGCAUCCUAACGGGCGGCCGAGAGUCCGGAGGGGAGGGGAGAAACUAGGGGCGCGCGGUGCCUCUCACCUGCCUGGGAAACACGGCUUCAAAAUCAAAAGUAGCACGAAUAAUCAAAUUACAUCAGGAAGGACCAUCCUGAAGAAAAAGUAAACCGUUCAAUUACCAAUUCAAAAAUUAAUAAAUGACAUAGCAAGCAAUGUCAGAUUUUAGGGGCAGAGCAGGUGAAGGACGCAGACUCUGGGUUGUGCUCUGAUCUCCAGGCACACAGCUCGGCAUCCACCGUCUACACUGUAAGUGCAGUUGGGGUAAGGCCAUAGCACAACAAUGACUGUUCUUUAAAUGUCAUUUACUAUGAGGAGGAAGCAGAGCACCCUUUACAAAUACUGGUGUAAAAACCAUUUGCUGUAUCUUUGAGCAAGGACUAGAGAGUGAGAGAAAAAUCACAUGUGAGAAACGUGCUUGUGCUGACCCAUGAAUAAGAACGUCCUCACUGAAAUGUCUAAACACAGCUGCCUCCAGGGACCUGCUGUAAUGUGGGAUACAGGUAAGACAAUAAUCAAAUGCACAGCUCCUGAACAAUAUGGAUACAAUUACAUAGCCCCUCCUCCUUGGCUGCCUUCCCAGAGAAAGGGAGAUAAAACUCACUGUGCAGCCUUGCUUACCCAAGGCAGAGUUUUAGUCGACCUAUAUAGCCCAGGUUAGCAUUUGGUUGUUGUUCACUUGCUCAGUCGUGUCCGACUCUUUGCGGACAUGGACUGCAGCACGCCAGCUCCUCUG